AACGCACAUUGCGCCCCUUGGUAUUCCAUGGGGCAUGCCUGUUCGAGCGUCAUUUGUACCCUCAAGCUCUGCUUGGUGUUGGGUGUUUGUCCACUCCCUGGUGUCUGGACUCGCCUUAAAGCAAUUGGCAGCCAGUGUUUUGGUAUUGAAGCGCAGCACAUUUUGCGUCUCCAGCCUAGAACGCUUGCGUCCAGUAAGCCUUUUUCCACUUUUGACCUCGGAUCAGGUAGGGAUACCCGCUGAACUUAA
rnacentral:misc_RNA from 1 species